rnacentral:rRNA from 1 species
CCUACGGGUGGCAGCAGUGGGGAAUAUUGGGCAAUGGGCGCAAGCCUGACCCAGCAACGCCGCGUGAAGGAAGAAGGCUUUCGGGUUGUAAACUUCUUUUCUCAGGGACGAAGAAAGUGACGGUACCUGCGGAAUAAGCCACGGCUAACUACGUGCCAGCAGCCGCGGUGAUACGUAGGUGGCAAGCGUUAUCCGGAUUUACUGGGUGUAAAGGGCGUGUAGGCGGGAAAGCAAGUCAGAUGUGAAAACCAUGGGCUCAACCUGUGGACUGCAUUUGAAACUGGUUUUCUUGAGUACUGGAGAGGCAGACGGAAUUCCUCGUGUAGCGGUGAAAUGCGUAGAUAUGAGGAGGAACACCAGUGGCGAAGGCGGUCUGCUGGACAGCAACUGACGCUGAGGCGCGAAAGUGUGGGGAGCAAACAGGAUUAGAUACCCGAGUAGUC